CCUACGGGCGGCUGCAGUGGGGAAUAUUGCACAAUGGGGGAAACCCUGAUGCAGCGACGCCGCGUGAGUGAAGAAGUAUUUCGGUAUGUAAAGCUCUAUCAGCAGGGAAGAAAAAAGACGGUACCUGACGAAGAAGCCCGGGCUAACUACGUGCCAGCAGCCGCGGUAAUACGGAGGGGGCAAGCGUUAUCCGGAUUUACUGGGUGGAAAGGGAGCGUCGACGGCGCGGCAAGUCUGAAGUGAAAGGAAGGGGCUUAACCCCUGAACUGCUUUGGAAACUUCCAUGCUAGAGUGCUGGAGUGGUAAGUGGAAUUCCUCUUGUAGCGGUGAAAUGCGUAGAUAUUAGGAGGAACACCAGUGGCGAAGGCGGCUUACUGGACAGUAACUGACGUUGAGGCUCGAAAGCGUGGGGAGCAAACAGGAUUAGAUACCCCAGUAGUC
rnacentral:rRNA from 1 species